GAUGAACGCUGGCGGCGUGCCUAAUACAUGCAAGUCGAGCGAAUGGAUUAAGAGCUUGCUCUUAUGAAGUUAGCGGCGGACGGGUGAGUAACACGUGGGUAACCUGCCCAUAAGACUGGGAUAACUCCGGGAAACCGGGGCUAAUACCGGAUAACAUUUUGAACCGCAUGGUUCGAAAUUGAAAGGCGGCUUCGGCUGUCACUUAUGGAUGGACCCGCGUCGCAUUAGCUAGUUGGUGAGGUAACGGCUCACCAAGGCAACGAUGCGUAGCCGACCAGGUAGGGGGAUCGGCCACACUGGGACUGAGACACGGCCCAGACUCGUACGGGAGGCAGCAGUAGGGAAUCUUCCGCAAUGGACGAAAGUCUGACGGAGCAACGCCGCGUGAGUGAUGAAGGCUUUCGGGUCGUAAAACUCUGUUGUUAGGGAAGAACAAGUGCUAGUUGAAUAAGCUGGCACCUUGACGGUACCUAACCAGAAAGCCACGGUUAACUACGUGCCAGCCGCCGCUGUAA
rnacentral:rRNA from 1 species